AGCAGCAGCCACGGGAAUACAGAGGGUGCGAGCGUUAAUCGGAUUUACUGGGCGUAAAGCGUGCGUAGGCGGCUUCUUAAGUCGGAUGUGAAAUCCCUGAGCUUAACUUAGGAAUUGCAUUCGAUACUGGGAAGCUAGAGUAUGGGAGAGGAUGGUAGAAUUCCAGGUGUAGCGGUGAAAUGCGUAGAGAUCUGGAGGAAUACCGAUGGCGAAGGCAGCCAUCUGGCCUAAUACUGACGCUGAGGUACGAAAGCAUGGGGAGCAAACAGGAUUAGAGACCCCUGUAGUCCCUGUCUCUUAUAU
rnacentral:rRNA from 1 species